rnacentral:rRNA from 1 species
GCUACGGGUGGCAGCAGUGGGGAAUAUUGCACAAUGGGGGAAACCCUGAUGCAGCAACGCCGCGUGAAGGAAGACGGUUUUCGGAUUGUAAACUUCUGUUCUUAGUGAAGAAGAAUGACGGUAGCGAAGGAGCAAGCCACGGCGAACUACGUGCCAGCAGCAGCGGUAAUACGUAGGUGGCAAGCGUGGUCCGGAAUUACUGGGUGGAAAGGGAGCGCAGGAGGGAAGCCAAGUCAGCUGUGAAAACUACGGGCUUAACUUGUCGACUGCAGUUGAAACUGGUUUUCUUGAGUGAAGUAGAGGUUGGCGCCAUUCCGAGUGUAGCGGUGCACUGCGUACAUAUUCGGAGGAACCCCGGUGGCGAAGGCGGCCAACUGGGCUUUAACUGACGCUGAGGCUCGAACGUUUGGGGAGCAAACAGGAUUAGAUACCCUUGUAGUC